rnacentral:rRNA from 1 species
CAGCAGCCGCGGUAAUACAGAGGGUGCGAGCGUUAAUCGGAUUUACUGGGCGUAAAGCGUGCGUAGGCGGCUAAUUGAGUCGGAUGUGUAAUCCCCGAGCUUAACUUGGGAAUUGCAUUCGAUACUGGUUAGCUAGAGUGUGGGAGAGGAUGGUAGAAUUCCAGGUGUAGCGGUGAAAUGCGUAGAGAUCUGGAGGAAUACCGAUGGCGAAGGCAGCCAUCUGGCCUAACACUGACGCUGAGGUACGAAAGCAUGGGGAGCAAACAGGAUUAGAUACCCCCGUAGUCCCUGUCUCUUAUAC